AGAGUUUGAUCCUGGCUCAGGAUGAACGCUAGCGGCAGGCUUAACACAUGCAAGUCGAGGGGCAGCACGGGUAGCAAUACCUGGUGGCGACCGGCGGAAGGGUGCGUAACGCGUGAGCAACCUGCCCGUAUCUGGGACAUAACCGGUGGAAACGCCGCCUAAUUUCCCAUAACAACAGAGGCCGCAUGACCUUUGCUUGAAAGCUUCGGCGGAUACGGAUGGGCUCGCGAGACAUUAGCUUGUUGGUGAGGUAACGGCCCACCAAGGCUACGAUGUCUAGGGGUUCUGAGAGGAAGGUCCCCCACAUUGGAACUGAGACACGGUCCAAACUCCUACGGGAGGCAGCAGUGAGGAAUAUUGGUCAAUGGACGGAAGUCUGAACCAGCCAUGCCGCGUGCAGGAAUAAGGCCCUAUGGGUCGUAAACUGCUUUUGUGGUGGAGCAAUAAGACGUACGUGUACGUCGAUGAGAGUACAUCACGAAUAAGCAUCGGCUAACUCCGUGCCAGCAGCCGCGGUAAUACGGAGGAUGCAAGCGUUAUCCGGAUUCAUUGGGUUUAAAGGGUGCGUAGGCUGUGCGGCAAGUCAGGGGUGAAAGCCCGCCGCCCAACGGCGGAACUGCCUUUGAUACUGUCGCGCUGGAAUACGGAUGCCGUGGGAGGAAUGAGUAGUGUAGCGGUGAAAUGCAUAGAUAUUACUCAGAACACCGAUUGCGAAGGCAUCUCACGAAUCCGUCAUUGACGCUGAGGCACGAAAGCGUGGGGAUCAAACAGGAUUAGAUACCCUGGUAGUCCACGCAGUAAACGAUGAUGACUAACCGUCCGGCAAUACCCAGUCGGUGGCCAA
rnacentral:rRNA from 1 species